AGCGUAGGCGGACAUUUAAGUCAGGGGUGAAAUCCCAGAGCUCAACUCUGGUACUGCCUUUGAUACUGGGUAUCUUGAGUAUGGAAGAGGUAAGGUGGAAUUCCGAGUGUAGAGGUGAAAUUCGUAGAUAUUCGGAGGAACACCAGUGGCGAAGGCGGCUUACUGGUCCAUUACUGACGCUGAGGUGCGAAAGCGUGGGGGAGCAAACA
rnacentral:rRNA from 1 species